rnacentral:rRNA from 1 species
GACGUAGGGGGCCAGCGUUGUUCGGAAUUACUGGGUGUAAAGGGUUCGUAGGCGGUGUGGCAAGUCGGGAGUGAAAUCUCUGGGCUCAACCCAGAGUCUGCUUCCGAAACUGCUGUGCUUGAGUGUGGGAGAGGCGCGUGGAAUUGCAGGUGUAGCGGUGAAAUGCGUAGAUAUCGGGAGGAACACCUGUGGCGAAAGCGGCGCACUGGACCACAACUGACGCUGAGGCGCGAAAGCUAGGGGAGCAAACAGG